GUGAAAAUAUCUCCUCCCUCUCCCUCAUCCCGCUACUCUCUUCUCCGGGCCGCCGCCGCCUCCGCUCCCCCUCCCUCUCGGCCGCAGCCUCGUCUCCGCUGCCUCCACCGCCUCCUCCUCCCCUGCCUCUGCUCCUCCCGUGUCUCCUCGUCCCCUCCCUCUGCCUCCGUGCUCAACAGGAGGAGCCUAGGUCGCUGCCGGGCGAGGGCGAGCUCCUUGCUUCUCGCCGCUCCCAGCCACCGGGCGCCGUCCUGCCGACGUGGCCCACUGCACGCUGCCACCAGCGUCUUCUUCGGAUGAACCCCUCGAGCCCCCACCAUGGCGGCUGCCUACAGAGGAGUGGAGCCCCCACCUAGAGGAAAGGCUGGCACAGGUUCGAGGAUGUGCACCAGGAGCGCACCUGUCUUGAUUAUCAGCCGAGCCUUGAUCUGGAGGACACAGGUGGCCGGGUGAGGCUGAGACAAGCCAAGGAUCAACCAGCAGUUCUUCCCAACCACGCCGCCGCAGCAGCAGCAGACGAUGAUGUUGUGGUGUGUCCUAAAUGUACUAAGCUUGCUUUUGCAGAUGUUCAUAUUUUUAUUUUCCAUUUGCGCCAUGCAUUUGCUUUUUUACUUCCUGUCAACAAUUUAACUAAAAGAUUCACACCAGUUCUUCAACUCUUUGCUUGAUCAUGGUUUGUUGCUUUGAAGAGCACUGCAAUUACUUCCUCGAGGAUGAUGUUACUUGUGGCAGCUAUAAUUUUUGAAAGGCCCCCAAUUUAUGAUGUGUGUAUACCGAGUGAAUGAAUCAACAUGAGCCCUCUUAUGUGUUAGUGUAUUUUAUUACUUAGUUCUUACUACAAGAUACCCUAUUUGGCCAUGUUUCAUGGUGCACUGGAGAAUGCAUCCAUACUGUGUGUGUAAUUUAGAAUAUUGUUGCUUUUGGAUGAUGAUAUACCAUGCUAUGAAUU
rnacentral:rRNA from 1 species